AGGGAAUCUUCGGCAAUGGACGGAAGUCUGACCGAGCAACGCCGCGUGAGUGAAGAAGGUUUUCGGAUCGUAAAGCUCUGUUGUAAGAGAAGAACGAGUGUGAGAGUGGAAAGUUCACACUGUGACGGUAUCUUGCCAGAAAGGGACGGCUAACUACGUGCCAGCAGCCGCGGUAAUACGUAGGUCCCGAGCGUUGUCCGGAUUUAUUGGGCGUAAAGCGAGCGCAGGCGGUUAGAUAAGUCUGAAGUUAAAGGCUGUGGCUUAACCAUAGUAGGCUUUGGAAACUGUUUAACUUGAGUGCAAGAGGGGAGAGUGGAAUUCCAUGUGUAGCGGUGAAAUGCGUAGAUAUAUGGAGGAACACCGGUGGCGAAAGCGGCUCUCUGGCUUGUAACUGACGCUGAGGCUCGAAAGCGUGGGGAGCAAACAGGAUUAGAUACCCUGGUAGUCCACGCCGUAAACGAUGAGUGCUAGGUGUUAGACCCUUUCCGGGGUUUAGUGCCGUAGCUAACGCAUUAAGCACUCCGCCUGGGGAGUACGACCGCAAGGUUG
rnacentral:rRNA from 1 species